CUUUGACCCAAAGCUUCGUGCUCAAGUUUUUUUGUCGACUCGGUUAAUUCUUCCGAUUCUGUAAGGAUCAAAUACUCAAACUGACUCGCCGGAAAUAGGUGUAUGUGAAGAAAAUGAGUCAUUUCUGCUACUAUUGCGGUGUCAUAAAAGUAAGACAAACAGUUUUUAUCAAAUUUGGUAUAAAAUUAUCAAUGAAAUCAAUAAAGCAAUCGGUAUUGAUGAUUCCCGUGGGUUUCA